rnacentral:rRNA from 1 species
CCUACGGGAGGCAGCAGUAGGGAAUAUUGCGCAAUGGGCGAAAGCCUGACGCAGCAACGCCGCGUGAUUGAUGAAGCCCUUCGGGAUGUAAAGCUCUGUCAGCGGGGACGAAACUGGCGGGUCCCGACAGAGGAGCCACGGCCUACUACCGUGCCAGCACCCGCGGUAAUACGGAGGGUCCAGGCGUUUCCCGGAAUCAUUGGGGGUAAGGGGUGCGUAGGUGGCAUGGUAAGUCUGGUGUUAAAGGCAGAGGCUCAACUUCGGGCCGGCAUUGGAAACUGGUAAACUGGAAUGCGGGAGAGGUAAGGGGAAUUCCUGGUGUAGCGGUGAAAUGCGUAGAUAUCAGGAGGAACACCAGUGGCGUAGGCGGUUUACUGGACCGUAAUUGACGCUGAGGAACGAAAGCCGGGGUAGCAAAUGGGAUUAGAUACCCGGGUAGUC